GACGAACGCUGGCGGCGUGCUUAACACAUGCAAGUCGAACGGAAAGGCCCUGCUUUUGUGGGGUGCUCGAGUGGCGAACGGGUGAGUAACACGUGAGUAACCUGCCCUUGACUUUGGGAUAACUUCAGGAAACUGGGGCUAAUACCGGAUAGGAGCUCCUGCUGCAUGGUGGGGGUUGGAAAGUUUCGGCGGUUGGGGAUGGACUCGCGGCUUAUCAGCUUGUUGGUGGGGUAGUGGCUUACCAAGGCUUUGACGGGUAGCCGGCCUGAGAGGGUGACCGGCAACAUUGGGACUGAGAUACGGCCCAGACUCCUACGGGAGGCAGCAGUGGGGAAUAUUGCACAAUGGGCGGAAGCCUGAUGCAGAAACGCCGCGUGCGGGAUGACGGCCUUCGGGUUGUAAACCGCUUUCGCCUGUGACGAAGCGUGAGUGACGGUAAUGGGUAAAGAAGCACCGGCUAACUACGUG
rnacentral:rRNA from 1 species